UACGGGGGGGAGCAAGCGUUGUUCGGAUUUACUGGGCGUAAAGGGCGCGUAGGCGGCCAGCACAAGUCAGUUGUGAAAUCUCCGGGCUUAACCCCGGAAAGGUCAGCCGAUACUGCGGGGCUAGAGUGCAGAAGGGGCAACUGGAAUUCUCGGUGUAGCGGUGAAAUGCGUAGAUAUCGAGAGGAACACCUGCGGCGAAGGCGGGUUGCUGGGCUGACACUGACGCUGAUGCGCGAAAGCUAGGGGAGCGAACGGG
rnacentral:rRNA from 1 species